rnacentral:sRNA from 1 species
AGAAUUCGCCGGGAACGAACCUCCUCCCUCGUUCCCCGCGAUUGGCGCGCGGCUGACCUCCUCCCCAGCCCAGCGCCCUUUAUAGAGACGCCCGUCGACCUCCUCCCCGACGGGCGUCUUUUU